UACGUAGGUGGCAAGCGUUGUCCGGAAUUACUGGGCGUAAAGAGCGCGUAGGCGGGUACUUAAGUCAGGGGUGAAAACUAACGGCUCAACCGUUAGCCUGCCUCUGAAACUGGGUACCUUGAGGGUAUGAGAGGAAAGCGGAAUUCCUAGUGUAGCGGUGAAAUGCGUAGAUAUUAGGAGGAACACCAGUGGCGAAGGCGGCUUUCUGGCAUACAACUGACGCUGAGGCGCGAAAGCGUGGGGAGCAAACGGG
rnacentral:rRNA from 1 species